GAUUCUCCUGCCUCAGUCUCCCAGGGAUGGAAGCUUACUUAUGCCAGGUGGCUGAUGGCCAAGGCCAAGCCCAAAGACCACUGCAGCCCAGUCCUCAGGAAAUGAAGUCCAUCUCUGCAGCACUGGAGGAGGAAGACUUCUCCAAUCAAGCAACGAGAAGGCAUACCUGGCAUCCUUCUCUGCUCAGAGAACAUGCUGUUAGGUCUACUCAGUAAACAUUUCCUACCAAUGACUUAGCUGAUACAAAAUAUCAAUUUCAAACUUCCUCUGACACACAUACUACUAUCCCUGAAACUAUUUUCACAAAGAAAAAUUAUUUCACAUCCUCAACUAAAAUUUUAUCAAUUUUCAUUUUUAUUAUUUUAUCACAGUCUAUAUUAAGCCUAAUAAAAAUAAAUAUUUGGAUAAUAUUUAUUCAUUCAUCCAUUUAAGACUUCAGUGAAAAUUUACUGAAUAUCUCUUACGUGUCAGACACAUUAACCUAUGGUCAAGUGCUUUAUUUAAGCAGUUUGGGAGGCCAAGGCAGGAGAAUUGCUUGAGCCCAGGAGUUGGAGACCAGCCUGGGCAGCAAAGUGAGACCUCAUCUCUAAAAACAAACAAACAAAAAAAUUACCCAGGUGUGUUGGCAUGUGCCUGUGGUCCCAGCUACAUGAAACUGAGGCAAGAGGAUCGCUUGAGCCUGGGAGGUUGAGGCUGCAGUGAGUGAGCCAUGAUCACACCACUGACUCCAACCAGGGGGACAGAGAGAGACGCUGUCCCAAAUAAAUAAACAAAUAAAAAGUAAAUGAAUGAAUGAAUGAA
rnacentral:lncRNA from 1 species